GAACGCGAAGAACCUUACCCACCUUUGACAUGGCAGGAAGUUUCCAGAGAUGGAUUCGUGCCCGAAAGGGAACCUGCACACAGGUGCUGCAUGGCUGUCGUCAGCUCGUGUCGUGAGAUGUUGGGUUAAGUCCCGCAACGAGCGCAACCCUUGCCAUUAGUUGCUACGAAAGAGCACUCUAAUGGGACUGCCGGUGACAAACCGGAGGAAGGUGGGGAUGACGUCAAGUCCUCAUGGCCCUUAUAGGUGGGGCUACACACGUCAUACAAUGGCUGGUACAGAGGGUUGCCAACCCGCGAGGGGGAGCUAAUCCCAUAAAGCCAGUCGUAGUCCGGAUCGCAGUCUGCAACUCGACUGCGUGAAGUCGGAAUCGCUAGUAAUCGCGGAUCAGAAUGUCGCGGUGAAUACGUUCCCGGGUCUUGUACACACC
rnacentral:rRNA from 1 species